GUGCCAGAAGAAUCGGUAAUACGGAGGGUGCAAGCGUUGUUCGGAAUUACUGGGCGUAAAGCGCGUGUAGGUGGUUGAGUAAGUCGAAUGUGAAAGCCCCGGGCUCAACCCGGGAAGUGCAUCCGAAACUGCUCGACUAGAGUCCCGGAGAGGAAGGCAGAAUUCCCAAUGUAGGGGUGAAAUCCGUAGAUGUUGGGAGGAAUACCGGUGGCGAAGGCGGCCUUCUGGACGGUGACUGACACUCAGACGCGAAAGCGUGGGGAGCAAACAGGAUUAGAUACCCUGGUAGUCCACGCUGUAAACGUUGCGAACUAGGUGUCGGGGGUAUUCACCCCUCCGGUGCCGAAGCUAACGUCUUAAGUUCGCCGCCUGGGAAGUACGGCCGCAAGGCUAAAACUCAAAGGAAUUGACGG
rnacentral:rRNA from 1 species